rnacentral:rRNA from 1 species
GACGAACGCUGGCGGCGUGCCUAAUACAUGCAAGUAGAACGCACAGUUUAUACCGUAGCUUGCUACACCAUAGACUGUGAGUUGCGAACGGGUGAGUAACGCGUAGGUAACCUGCCUGGUAGCGGGGGGUAACUAUUGGAAACGAUAGCUAAUACCGCAUAAUAUUGAUUAUUGCAUGAUAAUUGAUUGUAAGAUGCUAUUGCAUCACUACCAGAUGGACCUGCGUUGUAUUAGCUAGUAGGUGAGGUAACGGCUCACCUAGGCGACGAUACAUGGCCGACCUGAGAGGGUGAUCGGCCACACUGGGACUGAGACACGGCCCAGACUCCUACGGGAGGCAGCAGUAGGGAAUCUUCGGCAAUGGACGAAAGUCUGACCGAGCAACGCCGCGUGAGUGAAGAAGGUUUUCGGAUCGUAAAGCUCUGUUGUAAGAGAAGAACGGGUGUGAGAGUGGAAAGUUCACACUGUGACGGUAGCUUACCAGAAAGGGACGGCUAACUACGUG